GUUCCACAGUUAAAUUCAAGUUUAAGUUCGUCUCUCCUUGACCUUCCAGACAUUGACGAAUUUCCCCUCUGCCCAGACUGCUUGCGAAUGAAGGGAGAAGACUGGGGAAGCAAAGAAAAUCGGGAAACAAGAUUGCGUGGCCUCCCCCAUUUCCUGAAACCAUCAAAAAAGAAGAUGAUUCUAGAAACUCCAGCACAUUUACGAGUCCCCCUCAUGGACUUUAUGCACGACAAGUGGAUACAAUCAAGAGUCAAGAUUCCGAAGGACAUUGUCAGUGAGGACAUUGAAGCAGAAAAUGUCCAAUACAGACUGCCAAUGAGGGACAUCUGGUGUCCCAGGAAGCCCUUCCAGACACUAUACACUGACCUUUUAACUCACCGUAAAAGGACGGACAGUUACAAAAAACAUGCUUCUCCAGAUCCAAAGAGUAUGUGGGCAGAAUUCAACAUUACAAAAAUUCCUAAACACAGUAAAUUCCACUGA
rnacentral:lncRNA from 1 species